rnacentral:rRNA from 1 species
CCUACGGGUGGCAGCAGUGAGGAAUAUUGGUCAAUGGACGUAAGCCUGAACCAGCCAAGUCGCGUGAAGGAUGAAGGAUCUAUGGUUCGUAAACUUCUUUUAUAGGGGAAUAAAGUUCUCCACGCGUGGAUCUUCGCAUGUACCUUAUGAAUAAGGAUCGGCUAACUCCGUGCCAGCAGCCGCGGUAAUACGGAGGAUCCGAGCGUUAUCCGGAUUUAUUGGGUUUAAAGGGUGCGUAGGUGGUGUUUUAAGUCAGCGGUGAAAGUUUGUGGCUCAACCAUAAAAUUGCCGUUGAAACUGGGGGGCUUGAGUGUGUUUGAGGUAGGCGGAAUGCGUGGUGUAGCGGUGAAAUGCAUAGAUAUCACGCAGAACUCCGAUUGCGAAGGCAGCUUGCUAAGCCAUAACUGACGCUGAAGCACGAAAGCGUGGGGAUCAAACAGGAUUAGAUACCCGAGUAGUC